AGUGAACGCUGGCGGUAGGCCUAACACAUGCAAGUCGAACGGCAGCACAGUAAGAGCUUGCUCUUACGGGUGGCGAGUGGCGGACGGGUGAGGAAUACAUCGGAAUCUACUUUUUCGUGGGGGAUAACGUAGGGAAACUUACGCUAAUACCGCAUACGACCUACGGGUGAAAGCAGGGGAUCUUCGGACCUUGCGUGAUUGAAUGAGCCGAUGUCGGAUUAGCUAGUUGGCGGGGUAAAGGCCCACCAAGGCGACGAUCCGUAGCUGGUCUGAGAGGAUGAGCGGCCACACUAGAACUGUGACACGGUCCAGACUCCUACGUGAGGCAGCAGAGGGGAAUAUUGGACAAUGGGCGCAAGCCUGUACCAGCCAUACCCCUUAGGUGAAGAAGGCGUUCGGGUUGUAAAGCCCUUUUGUUGGGAAAGAAAAGCAGCAGAUGAAUACCCCGCUGUUCUGACGGUACCCAAAGAAUAAGCACCGGCUAACUUCGUG
rnacentral:rRNA from 1 species